GAGAGGAGAGACUUACCUUCCAACUCUGUAUCCCCAGUGUCACAAAGCCUAACAUACGGUUGGUGCUCAGUCGAUCUUUAUUCAGUGAGUGAAUGAAUAUACUUGUGGAUGACUGUCAAGUGAAGGCUGCUGCAUGAUGUAAAUCCACAGAUUCACCGUCUGGAACAGUCAUAUCUCAUCCCCGCCCCCCUCAACUGAACCUAUUUUCUCCAUUGUGUCCUAACAAAAUAGUCAUCACAUAAUACCCUGUG